GCUGGGAGCAGCACAGAUGGCUGGCUGCUGUGCUGUGGCUGGGCCCACUCCCCCCACCUUCAUGGAGGUCGCGCUGCCGAUCUCCACAGCACCCAGGGACUGUGUGACUGACGGCCUGCAAUGACACACUACGGGGAAGGAAAGCCUCACCCCGCAGUGAUUACGGGUGUCGGGGUGGAGAUGACGGAGCUGGACUGCUGCCCUGCCUCUGCUGCCGAGGACACAUUGAGGGAGAGACGCCGGGUGGUCCCAUCUCCUCUGUCUGGCUCCUCUUCCACUACAUCCAACACUCUGCAACAUGAGAACCAUAAGAAAAUACAGAAAGAUGCAAGAAGCCUGCUUUUUCAUCUAUAUCCUCCAUUGCAUGAUGAUAAUGUCUCAUAAAACUCUUAUAGUUACAUAAAAUACACUUGUCACUUUAAAUUAUUUCAAAUAAAGUCAUGUGUGAAAAGAAAAAAAAAUUUCUCUCUUAUUUUACUGUUGUUUAUAUAUUUUUCCAUUAUGUAAGGGAGACUGACCAAGAGAGAGAGAGAGAGAGAGAGAGAGAGAGAGAGAGAGAGAGAGAGAGAGAGAGAGAGAGAGAGAGAGAGAGAGAGAGAGAGAGAGAGAGAGAGAGAGAGAAA